UCCCUGAUGCGGUUCCCUCACACACGUAGGUGCACAACAGAGCCGGCUGUGUGUGGAGUGCGCGGGAAGAUUCUUCUUCCACUCCGGCAGUCUGGUGUUAGCAGUUAUGUACUUGAUAGAAGACACAUCUUUUCUACAUGGUAAAUUUCGGGAUGCAAACCUAGUAAUGUGCCUGAUCCCAGCUUGAGCAACAGUUGGAGUUAGCCAAGCGAGGCAGCGUGAGCACUAGGAGAGGGAGGGGAGAAGGAGAACUUAGGUUGCAUGGCACCAAUGGUCGGCUCCUUAUCCAGAAUCACGCGUCGGGAAAGGAGGUUCGAGGACUGCUUCUUCUUGGGACGCCACAUCCAUCGAGCUCUUACCCCAUCACCGCUGCCAUCCAUGGAGCUCUGACCUAUGGCCAACAAUUCGUCAUGGUGCACGAAAGACCCAGCGUGUGGUGUGCAUGUGGAAUUCUUCUUCACACUCAAACACAGGUUAUGAUAUCCAUGCUGGAGGAGUAGGAGGGCAACGGGCAAGUAAUAAUAGGAACCACCAUGAGCCUCACUAUGCGCUAUCCUGGUGAAACUGUUGGGUGCAACGGUGAUGGGCAAGACGAGCAUGUAGAAAGAGACCACAACAGCAGCAGGAUAAGACAUAGUUGUUGAAGACUUGAAAUACACAUGAAUGUACAUGUUUCGAUCUGAUCUCCCCUUAAUCUGGAUUGCCUUCUCUUCACAUGUAUGGUUGGUAUGUUUAGUGAAGCUUCUCAAUAGGUA